GUCCCUGUAGCGCAAUGGCUAGCGCGUUGGACUUCUAAUCCAAAGGUCGUGGGUUCGAAUUCUACCUGGAAUA
rnacentral:tRNA from 1 species